GUGCUCCCUUCAGCAGCACAUACACUAAAAUUGGAAUGAUAACAGAGAAGAUUAGCAUGGCCCCUGCACAAGGAUGACACGCACAUUUGUAAAGCAUUUCGUAUGAAA
ensembl:snRNA U6 U6 spliceosomal RNA